rnacentral:lncRNA from 1 species
ACGUUACUCGCUCAGUGCUCACGGCCCAACGCGUCCCGAGCCCCGGGCUUGGCCGAGGCUCUGGGCCCGGGAGCCGAGGGGAGGAGCGGGGCUGCGGCACCUGGACACGGGAAUCCUUGCUCUCCCCACCUGGCUACACCGCUAACCCGCCAGCCUCCCCUCCCCCCCAACCCUGCUCGCUGGGGGGACAGGUCCCUACCCUCCUUCUGGCCCCCCGACAUCGAGUUCCCAAGGAACCUCAACCAGGAAUAAUUUACCUGCGUUGGCAAAGGAAAGUAAUUCCUAAACGAGUUCUUUUCUUGGUUUUAAUCUGGAAGAACUGCAAUCGGGUUAGCGGAGCCCGAGAGGCGCGGGGAGGGGGGUGUUGGUUCUUCAGGCACACGGAAGUCUAAAGCAUCGCGGAGCUCCCACUCGGGUUAGAAGGAGGGAUUGGAAGGAAGGGAAAUUUGGGGGUAAUAUGAACGACUACAUCUGCAAGUCCCGGUUAAUGAGUCCCAGGCCACACUGGGAUUCCGGGGAUUUUCAUGUUUUCUAGAUCCUGGAUGGUUUGGCUGAAACCCCUGCGUUCUAAUUCUGGCUAAGGUCCCUGGGGGUAGGGGUGAGGGCAGGGAAAGUCAGCUCACUCCAGAGCUAGAAAGUUAAGUGGCGUCAGAGGCAAAUGCACCACUUUGUGUCCCUCCCCCCCACCCCCGCCCGCUCCAGGACGCGCAGGGUCCCGGCGGGUCAAAGGCGCCGGAGACCCGGGCCUCCCGGAACCCGCUGUCAGUGCGGUCCUCUUCCUCAGCGCGGGUGUGAGCCUGGAGCUCGGAGCCCCUCCUCACUCGCCCCUCUCUGGAGCCUCGGGGAACCAUUUCAGAGGUUGCAUAGGUGUCAGGAGCGGAAGGAGGCAUAGCGGUCCGCGCACCACCGAGCCUGCGGCUUCCAUCCUUGGAAAAAGCUUGCAGCUCACCUCCGGGGUCGCGGCGGCCCCGAGCCUCUGGCCGCAGAGCGCCGGCCUCAGGUUCAAGCGCGCGCCGCGGCGGAGCAGUGGAGUUACCGCCCCCAUCACCCCGCCUCGCGCCUCGGGGUAGCUCCUGUUUCUCCCCAGCCGCCUCCGCACUCCUGCCAGCGCCCCCUCACCCCGCCCCGCCCGGGCCGGGGCAGCCACCCCAACACCGCCAGAUCUUCUGCCUCGCAGAGCGCCCACACUCGCCAACGCCCCCUAACCCCGCCCUCCCGCCGCCACAGCAGCGGCCACGCGCGACACUGAGGACCGUGACCACAAAGAUUGAGAGACGGCUACCGUCAGGAUUCCUGGGGAGGUGCAGCCAGCCUUCUGCGGAGUGCUCAGUGCACUAUAAGGCUGAGUCCUCCCGCGCAGGCAGACGGGCGCGCGCGGCCCGGGCACAGGAAUACCGAGGCCUUCUCAUGUUUCUUGACUGCGCGGCCCAGCCGGCGAACAUCCUGCGGGCGCGGUAUCCACGUUCCCGGGCCGGCGAGAGGAAGCCUCAGCACCCUCCCGGCCGCGGGGACUGCCGUUAA